rnacentral:rRNA from 1 species
GAUGAACGCUGGCGGCGUGCCUAAUACAUGCAAGUCGAGCGAACGGACGAGAAGCUUGCUUCUCUGAUGUUAGCGGCGGACGGGUGAGUAACACGUGGAUAACCUACCUAUAAGACUGGGAUAACUUCGGGAAACCGUAGCUAAUACCGGAUAAUAUUUUGAACCGCAUGGUUCAAAAGUGAAAGACGGUCUUGCUGUCACUUAUAGAUGGAUCCGCGCUGCAUUAGCUAGUUGGUAAGGUAACGGCCUACCAAGGCAACGAUGCAUAGCCGACCUGAGAGGGUGAUCGGCCACACGGGAACGGAGACACGGUCCAGACGCCUACGGGAGGCAGCAGUAGGGAAUCUUCCGCAAUGGGCGAAAGCCUGACGGAGCAACGCCGCGUGAGUGAUGAAGGUCUUCGGAUCGUAAAACUCUGUUAUGAGGGAAGAACAGAUGUGUAAGUAACUGUGCACAUCUUGACGGUACCUAAUCAGAAAGCCACGGCUAACUACGUG